AGUGAACGCUGGCGGCAGGCCUAACACAUGCAAGUCGAGCGGCAGCGCGGGGGCAACCCUGGCGGCGAGCGGCGGACGGGUGAGGAAUUCGUCGGAAUCUGCCUUUUUGUGGGGGAUAACGUAGGGAAACUUACGCUAAUACCGCAUACGUCCUACGGGAGAAAGAGGGGGACCGCAAGGCCUCACGCAGAAAGAUGAGCCGACGACCGAUUAGCUAGUUGGUGGGGUAAAGGCCCACCAAGGCGACGAUCGGUAGCUGGUCUGAGAGGAUGAUCAGCCACACUGGGACUGAGACACGGCCCAGACUCCUACGGGAGGCAGCAGUGGGGAAUAUUGGACAAUGGGCGCAAGCCUGAUCCAGCCAUGCCGCGUGUGUGAAGAAGGCCUUCGGGUUGUAAAGCACUUUUGUCCGGAAAGAAAUCCCUGGAGCUAAUACCUUCGGGGGAUGACGGUACCGGAAGAAUAAGCACCGGCUAACUUCGUG
rnacentral:rRNA from 1 species